rnacentral:rRNA from 1 species
GUGGGGAAUAUUGGACAAUGGGGGAAACCCUGAUCCAGCCAUGCCGCGUGAGUGAUGAAGGCCCUAGGGUUGUAAAGCUCUUUUGUGCGGGAAGAUAAUGACGGUACCGCAAGAAUAAGCCCCGGCUAACUUCGUGCCAGCAGCCGCGGUAAUACGAAGGGGGCUAGCGUUGCUCGGAAUCACUGGGCGUAAAGGGUGCGUAGGCGGGUUUCUAAGUCAGAGGUGAAAGCCUGGAGCUCAACUCCAGAACUGCCUUUGAUACUGGAAGUCUUGAGUAUGGCAGAGGUGAGUGGAACUGCGAGUGUAGAGGUGAAAUUCGUAGAUAUUCGCAAGAACACCAGUGGCGAAGGCGGCUCACUGGGCCAUUACUGACGCUGAGGCACGAAAGCGUGGGGAGCAAACAGGAUUAGAAACCCUAGUAGUCC